rnacentral:rRNA from 1 species
AAUUUCUGGUACGAUUUGCCUGGUCCACGUUCCGUAAGGGCGUGCGUACUGGAGCGAUUCUGCCAUCCUUCUAGUUAACUGGCUGCACUUAACUGUGCGGUCAGCAAUCUAGAUCAUUUACUUUGAAAAAAUUAGAGUGUUUCAAGCAGGCGUUUUGCUAUGAAUACAUUAGCAUGGAAUAAUGAGUUAGGACUUCGGUUCUAUUUUGUUGGUUUCUAGGACUGAAGUAAUGAUUGAUAGGGAUAGUUGGGGGUGCUAGUAUUCAGCGGCCAGAGGUGAAAUUCUUGGAUUCGCUGAAGACUAACUUAUGCGAAAGCAUU